CCUGUGAUUUCCAAUAUUUGAACCUGCAAUCCCUACGUAAGUGGAUCUCGGAUAAUGUCUGCUAAAAAGAAAAACGUUUCGCGAUCCCUGACCCGCACCCGAGCCAGAGCGAACCCCACCCCGAAUCAUCCCGAGCCUUUCCCUCGUCGUCGUCGCCGCCACACCUCAUCCCGCUCGCCGUUGACGCCACCCCUCACCCCGCUCUCUACCGCCACCGCACCUCACCCUGCUC
rnacentral:lncRNA from 1 species